GAGUCAAUAGCUCAGUUGGAAGAGUAUGUGGCUACGGACUACAAUGACGGGGUUCAAAUCCCUCUUGACUCU
rnacentral:tRNA from 1 species